rnacentral:tRNA from 8 species
GCCCAGGUGGUGGAAUAGGCAGACACGCCAGACUUAGGAUCUGGUGCCUAAAAGGCAUGUAGGUUCGAGUCCUAUCCUGGGCA